UGAGGAAAAAAAAAUUGAAUAGUUUUCUGCAAUUAACUAGUUAGGGAAUUAAAACUGUUUACAUUUUCAAACAGACUGAGAAAUUAUUAGUCUUCCUGACAAAACAGGGUUACCAAAUGGAAAUGUUUGCAAUCAGGAACAGAAAUGGAAAAGAGCUUAUUAGUGCAUCUAGCCCAUCCCUAAGUAAAUACAGGAUUGUUCACUACAAGACCCUGCCUAACGUGUAUUCUAGUUUGCAAUAUCUAGCUCUGGGACUUCCUGUUUCUCCUGAGAAGCUAUUCCAAAGUCCAUUAGAUCUUGUUAAAUAAGAUUUUCCUGUUCAGCCUACAUUUUCCUCUUUAAUUUCAUCCCAUCGUGUUGAUUUUUACCUCUUUGUUUUUUGUGGGAGGAGUGAAUCCUGUCUCUUACAAAUGUUAAAGGUGUGUAGCCAGAAAGAUCACCCCACCCUUACCAAAUAACACAAUAGCUGCAGUUUAUACCUUCAUGAAUCAAUCCUACCACUUUUUCUCUGUCCCACCUGUUUCUCUUCUCUAACUCCCUCCUGUUUAUAUCUUUCAGGUACUGAGGUGUCCAAAACUGAACACAGUUCAAUAUUCAGCUUGAAGUGGACUAAAAACCAGCGUGUGUGUGUGCGCACUUUGCACUACCACAGCAACAAGACAGUUUUUCUCCUUAAGAGAAAGGGAACUUUUGUUUGACAUGCUCAUCUAAACUUUACCAUGGCUUAUUUAAAAAAAAAAAGAAAAAAAAAAUGGGCCUUUCCUUUUAAAGUAAUGAACAGGAAAGCAGUUUUGCCACAUUUAUUUCUAAAUGUGAAGUUUUCCUUCAAAAUGAACUAAAUUCCUUUAGCAGAAAACGAAUGGAAUUUGUAAGGCUCAUGAACAACUGCUCCCUAGCGCGUAGAAAUGCUGACUUGAAAUAGAGACUAAAUUUAAGGGCAAAGUACACAGACACCAGAAAAUGUUGUUUUCAAUUGAAGUAAGCUACCUGAUCAGAGUGGUGCACAUAAAAUGCUGAAAUUAUGUCACUGUUGGGAGCUUUCUUCAGCGUACUAGCCAGUGAGCUGGCCCACCAGUCAGCAGUAUAAUCAG